rnacentral:misc_RNA from 1 species
CAUCAAAAGAUAUCUUCCAAGAAUUUGCAUGGUAAGCCAGAGAAAUUACAAUGUUGUCAACAAAAUUCAUCUCAUCCUUUUCAAAUCACAAAAAACUUUGACCUUUAUGUGAAAUUUCAAAGAACAAGAGGGUUAUCUCCAUUUUUCUUUUCUGAUAUAACAAUAGAAUGAAAUAUUCUUUCAAACGUCUUACUUAACUACAUUAAAAAAAUUGAAAGUGCAGAUUUUCUCUGUGAUAAAUAAGCAGGUUACUGUCUUCUAUACCAAAUUCUCCCCAUAUGAUCGAAUUCAAUUCAAUAAAUGAAUACCUUAGUUAUUCAAAUCACUACAAGCAGAAUACACAUCGGCAAUUAAGAAGCAAGAUUAAGCUGUCUAAGAUCAGAAUUUGAAACCACAUAAAAGGUCCAACAGUAAAAAGUAGAAACGCCCAAAAGAUCAACAGGAG